rnacentral:lncRNA from 1 species
UAUGGCUUCAAUGACAUUGAUCAAAGGAGGACAUUGUGGAAGACAAUUCAGAACCUUGCUGCUGUUACUACUGACCCCUGGCUAAUAGCAGGAGAUUUCAAUGCCAUUAUGUCUAGUAAUGAUAGACAAUCAUGUCACCAAGUUAAACAAGUUGAGAUUGUAGAUUUUACCAAGUGCAUCCAGCAGGUUGGUCUGGCUGAACUCCCAUGGAAAGGGGAUUAUUUUACCUGGACCAAUAAACAAAGUGGCAAUGAUAGAGUGUGCAGCAGAUUGGAUAGAGUGUUUGGCAACUAUGAGUGGAACUCCCAUGGAAAGGGGAUUAUUUUACCUGGACCAAUAAACAAAGUGGCAAUGAUAGAGUGUGCAGCAGAUUGGAUAGAGUGUUUGGUAACUAUGAGUGGAUGAUUAAGUGGAGCCAUGUACACACUGUAUAUGGAGUGCCACUUAUUUCUGACCAUAAUCCCAUGUUGUUAACCCUGGAAGAAGAUAACAAUUUCAGGAAGACUCCCUUCAGGUUCUACAAUGCAUGGACUCAACAUAAGGAUUUCCAACUUCUGAUCUAAGGAUAACUGGAAUGGUAAUGC